GUGGCCUUCGGGGAUGUGCCCCGGCUGCCUUGGUUUGGGGUCCUGCAUUGCUCCCUCCCCACGGGGCUCUGCAGCUGCUGCCUCCAUCAGCCCCUCUUCUCUGCCCCACUCGGCUGCUUUUGGAGGGAAAUUCAUUUUUAAGGAGUUUUUGUUUCCCCAGCAUGUCACACGUGGCAGGCUCGGUGACCUCAGGUGUGGCGGGGACCCAGCCGGGCCGGGUGGGAGGUGGCAGCAGGACCCCGGGCUGGGGCGUGGGGGGACACAGGGCCAGGGGACACAUCCAGCCCGUGAGAUGUUCCACAGGGAAAGGGACCUGGGGCUGUGGAUGGACUGGCAGUGCUGGGGAAACAAAAAACCCUUAAAAAUGAAUUUCCUCCCCAAAACCAGCGGAGUGGGGGAGGGAAGAGGGGGUGACUGGCAGUGCUGGGGACACCGUCCUGCUCUGGGGGGUGACAGAGGGGACAGAGCCAGCCCUGGGGUGCUGGGGCGGUGCUGGGGACACACCGUGUCCCUGUCCUGCUCUCAGGGUGACAGAGGGGACAGAGCCAGCCCUGGGGUGCUGGGGCAGUGCUGGGGACACACCGUGUCCCUGUCCUGCUCUCAGGGUGACAGAGGGGACAGAGCCAGCCCUGGGGUGCUGGGGCGGUGCUGGGGACACACCCUGUCCCUGUCCUGCUCUCAGGGUGACGGAGGGGACAGAGCCAGCCCUGGGGUGCUGGGGACACACCGUGUCCCUGUCCUGCCCCAUGGGGUGACAGCCCAGGGCCCAUUCCUUCCCUCUGGAGCCAUGGGGGACACCAGGACCUUUGUGUCCCUCGCCUGUGCUGGCACCCUGCAGCUCCUCGUCACUGCUCCAGUGCUGGGAUGUCCCUGCCCUGGGCACAGCUCGGGAUCAGCCUGGGCCCGCCGUGCCUCAGUUUCCCUCCGGUGCCCCCGGCUCCGGGGGUGACUCGGGGGCAUCUCCGCUGCCUGCCCCGGGCGCUCGGGCCCGUUGUCCUUAAAAAGGCAGCCGGGAGUGCGGAGCCCUGGCUGGCCUCUCCGGGGCCGGGGGCCGCGGGCUGGGGGUGGUCCCGGGACCCCCGGGGGCUCCGAGCUCGUCCCCCUCCCAAACCAGGCU
rnacentral:lncRNA from 1 species